rnacentral:rRNA from 2 species
CGGCGAGUGAAGCGGCAAUAGCUCAAAUUUGAAAGCUGGCCCCUUCGGGGUCCGCGUUGUAAUUUGUAGAGGAUGAUUCGGCGAGGGCUCCCGUCUAAGUCCCUUGGAACAGGGCGUCAUAGAGGGUGAGAAUCCCGUAUGUGAUGGGCUGCCUUAGCCAUGUGAAUCUCCUUCGACGAGUCGAGUUGUUUGGGAAUGCAGCUCUAAAUGGGAGGUAAAUUUCUUCUAAAGCUAAAUACCGGCCAGAGACCGAUAGCGCACAAGUAGAGUGAUCGAAAGAUGAAAAGCACUUUGGAAAGAGAGUUAAAAAGUACGUGAAAUUGUUGAAAGGGAAGCGCUUGCAGCCAGACUUGUCCGCAGUUGCUCAGCCUGUCUCCUGACAGGCGUACUCUUCUGCGGCCAGGCCAGCAUCAGUUCGGGCGGUCGGAUAAAGACCCGGGGAAUGUAGCUCCUCUCGGGGAGUGUUAUAGCCCUGGGUGCAAUGCGGCCAGCCUGGACUGAGGAUCUCGCUUCGGCUAGGAUGCUGGCGUAAUGGCUGUAAGCGGCCCGUCUUGAAACACGGACCAAGGAGUCUAACAUCUAUGCGAGUGUUUGGGUGUCAAACCCAUGCGCGUAAUGAAAGUGAACGGAGGUGGGAACCCUCACGGGUGCACCAUCGACCGAUCCUGAUGUCUUCGGAUGGAUUUGAGUAAGAGCAUAGCUGUUGGGACCCGAAAGAUGGUGAACUAUGCCUGAAUAGGGUGAAGCCAGAGGAAACUCUGGUGGAGGCUCGCAGCGGUUCUGACGUGCAAAUCGAUCGUCAAAUUUGGGUAUAGGGGCGAAAGACUAAUCGAACCAUC